rnacentral:lncRNA from 1 species
GACUGAAUGGCUUCCUUUUGCUGUGUCUACUUUUCACUUCAGAAAUCUGCUGUAACAUCUCCAUCUGUUUGAACUUCAGAGCUGGGAAAUGGCAACUUUUGUACACUCCAGAUACCAAACACUGCAGUUCUUGGAUCAGGAAUCUGACUCUGAAAGAAGUCCGUUUCAGUUUGGUGUGGAGAUUACUGAUGAAGAGUUUGAGCUGCUACUUGACAGAAUCCCCCUUGAUGAAGAUGGAAAUGUCAAAUACCCCCAGUUCAUGCUCAGGUUUGAUUCCUGGUAUACAGCAUAUGCAUUUUAUUCCUCAUUUGUGAGCAGGAUUAUUUUUAAUCUAAAAGGCUCACGUAGCAUUUCCAGACUGAAUCUCAUUUCUUAACUGUGCUCCUUUAUGACAUUUCUUGCAAAGAGUGUGCUGAUUAUAUUUAAAAUUAGCUGGUGUUGUGGGUGUAUACUGUUUGUAAUUUAAUUUCUCUUUACAUGCUAUUUACAUUAUUUAGAAGAAAG